GGCGCCAUGGCUUAGUAGUAAAGCGCCUGUCUAGUGAACAGGAGAUCCUGGGUUCGAUCCCCAGUGGUGCCU
rfam:Ciona savignyi cont_22611, whole genome shotgun sequence.